rnacentral:RNase_P_RNA from 1 species
UGAGCAAGCCGAACGGCCGCCACGCACUGGAAUUGACAUUCAGCGAUAAACGAUAUCAUGUAAAGUUUCAAUUCCAGUGCGUGGAGGAAAGUCCGAGCUCCGCAGGGCAGGGCGCCGGGUAAUACCCGGUGGAGGCGACUCCAAGGAAAGUGCAACAGAGAUAUACCGCCUUCCAUACGGUUUCGUAUGGGGGGGAAGGGUGAAAAGGUGAGGCAAGAGCUCACCAGAGCCAUGGCGACUUGGCUGCUAUGUAAACCCCGUCCGGUGCAAGAUUGAUAGAGGGCAUUAAGCGGCUGCCCGCCGCGCCCCGUGUAAUCGCAUGAGCCUGAUGGCAACUUCAGGCCAAAGAUAGAUGGCCGUUCUUAGACAGAACUCGGCUUACAGGCUUGUCUCAAUAA